rnacentral:rRNA from 1 species
ACGCUCGACACCUACGGGAGGCAGCAGUGGGGAAUAUUGCACAAUGGGGGAAACCCUGAUGCAGCGACGCCGCGUGAGCGAAGAAGUAUUUCGAUAUGUAAAGCUCUAUCAGCAGGGAAGAAAAUGACGGUACCUGACUAAGAAGCCCCGGCUAACUACGUGCCAGCAGCCACGGUAAUCUGAGCGGGCUGGCAAGGC